CCAAACCUGCAGCUCUUGUGGGGGGUUCCCGGUCUGCAGAGGUCAGUACCUAUCAAAAGUGGUCCAAGGAAGGAACAAAACCCGGAGACUGGGUCAUGGGGGGCCGAGGCUCAUCGAUGCAGGUGGGGAGUAAAGGCUGGCCCGUGUGGUCCGAUCCAACAGACGAGCUACUGUACUGUCAAACUGCUGAAACAGUUAAUGCUAUAUACACACACUGCAGGUAUAUAGACAUUGUAUGUGCUACAUUUCAUACAAUUCUACCGACAAUACCUCUACAAUAAGUUAGUUAGUUAGUUUCAGAGGACAGUGCUGUAUACAGGUCAGAGAUCAGUGCUAUUUGAUAAGGAUGUUAUUGUUAUAUAGGUCAUUGCUGUAGAUACAGGGCAGAGGUCUGUACUGUAUAUUUGAUUAUUAGAAUUAAUACGCAUAAAUAAAUUCAGCUAUGUGUGACAUCAUCCUGUGUGUUUACAGAGACAUUACCAUCCAGUCGUGCGGCGGUUAGCGGUCCACCUGUGUCAGGGAGCUCCCAGUGAGGGAUCGGCGGCGCUCGGUGUCGAUCUGAGUCGCAGGUCGCCGGUGGAGCUGUUUAAUAUCUACAGUGUCAAAGACAUGACCUUUAACCCCCCUGUAGCACCGCCUGGCACCAAGAAGAAGGAUCGGUUUGUGGUCGGAGCAACGCUGUUGGACACGGAGCUGCAGAGACGAGCCGAAAGCGUCCUCGCCGCCACCGAGCAGACGGAGCUGGACUUUAAUAUAAAGCACGCACACACACACACACACACACACACAAACACACACAAUAAAAAUCUUUUCUAACAAAUAUUAUAAACAUGAAUCGUUCUGAUGAAACUUUAGUUACAGAUAGACCAGUGUUGCUUUCAAAAUAAAAGCCUAAAAGUAGGAAGUGAGCUGUUUGUACAAAAAUGAUCUUUUCAUAUCUCUUCAUUUGCUUGUUCUUGUUGAAUAAAUGUUUUAUUGGAA